rnacentral:tRNA from 1 species
AAAGGUUUAAGUUAACGAAAACUAAAAGCCUUCAAAGCUUUAAUUGGCCACAAAAACCAACCUUUA